GUUCAAUUUAAAAUAACAAUAAUAAAACAGAAGUCAUGAAACCAAGUAAUCAGGAAAUCCUCCAAUACUGUCUAAAUUAGACCUGAUGAAAAAUGUGGUUACUACAGUUAGUAAUGAUGUAUUGUACUCUUGCUAAGAGAAUGAUUUUAAAUAUUUUCUCUUUCUCUGCCUCACACACACAAGGUAACUAUGUAAGGUAAUGGAUAUGUUAAUUAUCUUGAUUGUGGUUAUCAUUUCAUAAUAAAUACAUGCAUCUAAAAAUAAUGUAGUACAUUUUAAUUAUAUAUGACCUUUAUUUGUAAAUUAUCCCAUAGUAAAGCUGGAAAAAAGGUUUUUAAGAGUGUAGAUCUCAUGUUAAGUGUUCUGACCGCACCAUUCUUAUUUUUGAUAUGUAAGUCUGGUGUCUACAUUCUAAUUUGGCUGACUCAGCAAAUUGGCAUCUCAAUCUUACCAUUGGUUAUCACCUUUGUUUCUCUUAGUUUCUGGAAAUUCAUAGAAUGAUUUAUAGAUGCAAGUGACUCUGGAAUUACUUCUCUAAACCUACUUGUUUUACUGAUGCAGAAAUAAUUGCAUUCUAUUUAACUGCUCAUACAUGAUCAUAUUUUCAAAGUUCAAGUUCAAACUAAUAAAUGGCCAUUUGAUUCCAUGAAAAUACUUUCUAGAAAAGGGAAGCUGUAAUAUUCCAGGACAGCCUAUUCCUUCAAUGAAUAAUUCUGUUUAUCCCUAAAUUAAUGCACCUAAAAUUGAGCACAGUACUCUGCCUUUAAAUUAAUAAAUAUUAGUCUUAACCUGAGUCAAAAUAUUUGGUUUCUAGGCGGUGCUGCUCACAUUUGUGAUAAUCUUUCCUAGUUUCAGCAUUAAUGUAAUCUGUUUUCAUGUUUCUGGUUUUUAAUUCUUUUUUCUUCCUUCCCUUCUUGCUUUUGUCACUCCUUCCCUUCUUUCCUUCUUUCAAGAUUUCAGAUUCUGGGAUUCUGAUCACUGUAAACAACUGUAAAGGGUUUACGGUUUUAUCCUACUUACAGCUAACAAAUUAGCCUUCCAAAAUUUCAUGGAUGCUCUCAGAAGACAUAAAACCUCUAAGUCAGAGACAAAGGUCUUUAUUACUCACAACAAAAGCAGUAGCCAGACUAUCAGCAUUUGCAUUGGUUCACAGAGUCCCAAUUCCCACAUAAUUCUGCAAAGAGGUUUGAAGUGAUGCCUGUACACCUAGCAGGUUCCUGUAGUCCUGCACAGAACACAAACCCUGAGCUUAGGCAAUCCAAAUCUUCUAAAAUAAGCAAUAAACUUUCCUGUUUUCUGCACGGAAGGAAGACAUUAUGUUUAUUAUAAUAGGCAAUAAACAACAACAAAAAAAUAAAACCACACACAUACAAACUGCCCUUUGCUCUGGAGAAAGGCACUAUCUCAGUCUUCCAAGGCUCUUCACUAAACAAAUAUACUUGAAAAAAGUCAUCUGGAGCCAAGGAUGUCAGCACUUCUGCUGGUAACACACAGAGAAAUGUACAAGACCCAGCAACUACUUUUAAAUAUAUUGGUAUUGAUAUUUCUAUAGAUUGCUCUAAUUUGGAAUGUUUUCAGCAUAUAUUUCUUAAAUAUAUCCUUUCAUGUUGCAUUUUAUUUUCUCUCCUCCUUUUGAGAUUGAAAUUACAUAUGUAUUAAAAUGUCUCAUGAAUCAUUAAAGCUUAUUCACCCUGUUUUCUUUUUCCAUUCUGUACUUCUGUUCCAAUUACUUCCAUUGUCCUGAGUUUAUAUUUACUAAUGAUUUCUUGUGGAAUACCCAAUCUGCUUCCAAUCUUAUUUAAUAUAUAUAUUCUUUUAUUUCAGAUAUUUGAUUUUUCAGUUUUAUUCAAGAUUUCAAUUUGAUUCCUUUUUAUGCCCUCCUGAUUAUCCAUGAAACUCCCCAAUUCCUCUUUUAUUAUUUUCUACUGUUCCUUGGGUCUUAACCCCAUUAUUAUAUAGUAAUUUUAUAGUUUGUCUCCUAAUUUUAAUACCUGUUCAAUUUAUGGUAAUGAUUUGUAGAAUGAUUUCUUUUAUUCUGGUGUUACAUUUUUUUCUUUUUUCUCUUUUCUAAUAAUUUUCAAUUGUACGCUAUAUGAUAUUGCAAUAUAAUAUUUGGGAUUUUGUAAUUUUCUUCUGAAGAUUGUUAAUUUUUGUGGUAAUGGGCAUUAAAUAACCAGAAGAUUACUUUAAGUUUGGGGGUAUUUGGUUUUACAUUUAGUAGUUAUAGUCCAUUUGGGUUUUGUGCUUAGUCCUAAGGAAAAUAUCUUGGUAUAUAACGGGUGCUCUCCUAGAAUAUCUAUGGAAAGUUCAAAGCAUUUAACAAAUUCCUCUAUAUUAUCAAGAUUCAAACUCCAAACUUCAUUGGGAAACCAUUAAAAUCUCUGUUCAGGUCUUCAAGCUUUUCAGUUGUGGUUUUCUUCCUCAGGUUUUUGGAAUCUUGCAUGCAGCUCUGGGGUCAACCAAAAACCUAGGAGAAUUUAUAUACAGAAUUUAUGGCUUAUCCACAUCUGGCUCUCUCAUAUCUUCAUGACCCCUUCAUUUUCCAGUUUCUCUUAAUGUCCCACAUUCCUCAGGUCAAGAAGCCUGUGAGUCUUUGCUUAUAUUCUGCUCAAUAAGAAAUGAGAAGUGCCUUUAGAAGAAAGGUAAAUAAAUGAACAUGUCACCCAGUGCAAAUCCUUUAUUUCAAGGGUUAAAUUCCUUCUGAUAUUUGGCUGCCUUUGACCAUGUUUCAGCAACUUUUAGCAGGAUUUUUUUAUAUCUGCCUAAGAAUUGGCAAUGUUUUCUGCAAGAGGAUUAAUUUGAUACAAGCUACUCUGCCAUUACUGGAACCAGCUGUGUAUAAUUGCUAGCUGUGUGAUUGUGGGGAAGUUUCUCUUUUAAGAAGUGCUUUUUUCAUCUUUGAAGAAUGUCAAGAAUAUCUACUUUCUAAACAUGUUAUGACAAUCAAACAUGAACAAUAAUGUAAAGCAUUGAAAAGGAAGUUUGAUACACUACAAACACACACACAUUUUCCUAUUGUAUUUACCAAAGGAA
rnacentral:lncRNA from 1 species